GCGGCCGUGUCAGAAGUAAUGAGCUGAUUUUAAGCGUCAGAUAUGGAGUUAUGUCCCGUUCGCU
rnacentral:tRNA from 1 species